rnacentral:misc_RNA from 1 species
AGGAAAUUGAGUAGGAGAAAAAGAGCCAAACUGAAGCUUGUUCUCUAGAUGGUUAUGCUGCGAAAAGUUAUGAGCAACAGUACCAUUCGCUCUAUCAUGGUUUCCAGGAAACCCUAGCCUCUUAAAAUCAUCAACGCCACCAAAACCGCCCUGAGUUUGAUCACCCGAACUCUGAGUCGCCGCGAAUUGGGCUCCCCCAAACUGAUUCCGAGGAAGAGGAAAAGGGUUCUGCUGUAGGUGUUGAAACCCCACAUAAUUAGGAGCGAUGGGA